rnacentral:pre_miRNA from 1 species
GUUUGAGCAGUGAUUCCAGGACUGUCCUACCUGAGAAUGGUACAACUUGCGGUCAAUCUCAGGUUCGUCAGCCCAUGAAACGCUGUCUCAUU